rnacentral:sRNA from 1 species
UACUGAUUAAAGUUAUGAUAGAAUGUCAGAACCAGCUGUUUCCAUUGCUGAUUCAGAGUCUAUAAAGAGUGAUAUACUGUCUGCCAUCAAGAGCAUUUGCUUGGGUUGUCUGGAGAGAUUGCAGAACCCCUCAGUAUACUCUUGCUUUGUGAACAAUGAAUGAACAUACUGUCACAUCUGUCAUAUAUCAAAUAGAAGUUGUGCUGCUAUGUCUGAGCACUUUCACAAAACUGAUCAAUUUUUGAUUGAUGAAUUUCACAAAAUGCUGCUCUCUGAUGAAGUU